GAUUUAUAAAGAAGUACAGAGAGAACAGGCUCAAAGAUGUACUGGCAACCUGCCAUUAUUUUACCAAAAUAAGCAAGGUGCUAACUCCUGCCUAAAUCAAAUUUUUUCUUUUUAAGAU
rnacentral:ncRNA from 2 species